AGGAUUCGGCGCCAGUGGGUCCACCAAAGUGACCCACUCAGGCAUUUUCUCAUGGGCCUGCCGAGCCAGAGGUGUCUUCUCAUGUGAUUGUCGAGCCACGGCAUCUCGUCCAUGAGACUACUUCAUAUUCUGCACCAGACCCAUCUCAGGAGCCUACUCAAGCACCCCUCGAUACACAGGUUCAUCCCUCAACGCCUGCGGUGGCAACUCCCGAGGAGGAUGAGGUCGCUUUUCCAGACGCAGCUCAGCCUGAGAUUCUGAGCAUACCAGCGGGACUAGAUCCCAAGAAGAAGCACGUUAUGCAGAAGGGCGCAAGGGCGAGGGAUGAUCAUGGCUUAGAGCGCCCUCUUAUUAAGAGGAAAAAGGGGGAUGGAGAUGAUGGCAAGGGCGGUAGUGAUGGUAUGAGUCUUAGGCCUAAGGAUAGUCUCAGGCAUACCCCAUGUGG